rnacentral:lncRNA from 1 species
AAACUAUGCUAGGCCAAAAGCUGUAAUUAAUCUAUGGCUGCUUCUUCAGAAUAGACUGCCUACCAAGGAUAGGCUACUACAGUGGAGUAUGAAUGUAGAUAACAUCUGUGUACUGUGCCAGCAAGCUCCGGAGACCAGAGAUCACCUCUUUCAUAGCUGUCCCUUUGUUUCUCAGCUAAGGCAUCAGACACUGUCAUGGAUUAGGG